rnacentral:tRNA from 1 species
GCCGGUGUGGCUCAGUGGGUAGAGCAUCAGCCUGCAGACUGAAGGGUCCCAGGUUCGAUUCCGGUCAAGGACA